AAAAGUCGUAACAAGGUUUCCGUAGGUGAACCUGCGGAAGGAUCAUUAUCGUAUAACCGAGGCACCGGGUCGUCGUAGACCUUCAAGUCGUGCACGUCCUAGUGUCUGCAUCCCAUCCCUCACCCCUUGUGCACCACCGCGUGGGCCCCCCUUUUGGCUUCUGUCAGAAGGGGUGCUCGCGUCUUNUNUAACACAAACGCAAUGCAGUGUAGAAUGUAUUCUUUUAUGCGAUAAUAACGCAGUCAAUACAACUUUCAACAACGGAUCUCUUGGCUCUCGCAUCGAUGAAGAACGCAGCGAAAUGCGAUACGUAAUGUGAAUUGCAGAAUUCAGUGAAUCAUCGAAUCUUUGAACGCACCUUGCGCCCCUUGGCAUUCCGAGGGGCACACCCGUUUGAGUGUCGUGAACAUCAUCAACCUUUUUGGUUUCUUGACCAAGAAAGGCUUGGAAUUUGGAGGUGCUUUUGCUGGCUUUAAUCAAAGCCGGCUCCUCCUAAAUGCAUUAGUGGGGUCCAACUUUUGCUGAUCCUGGACGUGAUAAGAUGCUUCUACGUCCUUUGGGGUUUUCAAACCAUACCUGCUUCUAACUGUCUCAUCAGAGACAACACACCACGCGUGAAACCCCUUGACCUCAAAUCGGGUGAGACUACCCGCUGAACUUAAGCAUAUCAAUAAGCGGAGGA
rnacentral:rRNA from 1 species